rnacentral:other from 1 species
UGACGACUGCUUUUUCGCGAUUAGUUUUUCAAUCCCUGGGGCCAUAAUUUUCUCUCGGGAGCUGCCUCUGGCCGAGCCGUGGUUUGGUUAUGUGGCACCCACCUGCAAAGCAGGUCACAGAGGAUGAUACAACGACGGUUAAGGUGGUUGUCGC